rnacentral:rRNA from 1 species
UUGCCAGCCCGCUCAGAAACUCAAAGGAAUUGACGGGGCCCGCACAAGCGGUGGAGCAUGUGGUUUAAUUCGAUGAUACGCGAGGAACCUUACCUGGGCUCGAACGUAAGAUGACUGUAGGUGAAAGCUUACAUCUCUUCGGAGCAUUUUACGAGGUGCUGCAUGGUUGUCGUCAGCUCGUGCCGUGAGGUGUCGGGUUAAGUCCCAUAACGAGCGCAACCCCUACCUUUAGUUGCCAUCAGGUAAUGCUGGGGACUCUAAAGGAACUGCCUACGCAAGUAGUGAGGAAGGCGGGGAUGACGUCAAAUCAGCACGGCCCUUACGUCCAGGGCUACACACGUGCUACAAUGGCCGAUACAGAGGGCAGCUACCUGGUGACAGGAUGCAAAUCUCCAAAGUCGGUCUCAGUUCGGAUCGGAGUCUGCAACCCGACUCCGUGAAGUUGGAUUCGCUAGUAAUCGCGCAUCAGCCAUGGCGCGGUGAAUACGUUCCCGGGCCUU